rnacentral:rRNA from 1 species
CUUCGGGGACAUUGGUGACAGGUGGUGCAUGGUUGUCGUCAGCUCGUGUCGUGAGAUGUUGGGUUAAGUCCCGCAACGAGCGCAACCCUUGUCUUUAGUUGCCAUCAUUAAGUUGGGCACUCUAGAGAGACUGCCAGGGAUAACCUGGAGGAAGGUGGGGAUGACGUCAAAUCAUCAUGCCCCUUAUGCUUAGGGCUACACACGUGCUACAAUGGGUAGUACAGAGGGUUGCCAAGCCGUAAGGUGGAGCUAAUCCCUUAAAGCUACUCUCAGUUCGGAUUGUAGGCUGAAACUCGCCUACAUGAAGCUGGAGUUACUAGUAAUCGCAGAUCAGAAUGCUGCGGUGAAUGCGUUCCCGGGUCUUGUACACACCGCCCGUCACACCACGGGAGUUGGAGACGCCCGAAGCCGAUUAUCUAACCU